UACGUAGGGCGCAAGCGUUAUCCGGAAUUAUUGGGCGUAAAGAGCUCGUAGGCGGUUUGUCGCGUCUGCUGUGAAAACCUAAGGCUCAACCUUGGGCUUGCAGUGGGUACGGGCAGACUAGAGUGCGGUAGGGGUGACUGGAAUUCCUGGUGUAGCGGUGAAAUGCGCAGAUAUCAGGAGGAACACCAGCGGCGAAGGCGGCGCUCUGGGCCGGAACUGACGCUGAGGAGCGAAAGCGUGGGGGAGCAAACAGG
rnacentral:rRNA from 1 species